UGUCGGAGUCGAGAUAACCUUAAUUUUAUUCCUUUCCUCUCCUUCAUAAAAAAGGCUGUAGCUCCCUUUCGUUCCAUUAGAAUUCCCAUUUGCCGUAACCACAGCAGCAAAGUCUAUGUUAGGUUCAACAACACACUGUUUGGGGUUCUGAUACGGGAGGAUCUGCUCUACUGAAGUUCAAGGGUUCAAUUUUAGACUCUUCUGGUGUCUCUACGGAAUCAUUGUUCCUCAAUCGAGCUUAAGGUGUAGUGUUGUAUCAAGUGAUGGCUCAAAAUGUGCAACAAUGCCUGAAGUGAAAAUUUCUUUUGAUUUCUAGUUUGAUAAGGUGUUAAACCUC